GGAGAAGUACGGUUGCAAGAUUGAAACUUAGGGAAAUUAACGGAAGAGCACCAUCAGGAGUGGAGCUUGCGGCUUAAUUUGACUCACCGCGGAAAAACUCACCUGGCCCAGACACCGUGAAGAAUAACAGAGUGGGAGAGACAUUUGUUUCGAUGGCAAACUGGUACUGACGAUUGCCGCUAGUUCAAAACUGUCAUCUGUUUGCUUCUGCGCAACACUUAAAAGAGGAAGCCAUGGACGAUCGCUGUUAGCAUUUGUUACCACUUGACUACUGUCAGUUGUCUCACUGAGUGUGAAUUAUGAGAGGUGCUGUAAUUUUGAUUUUGCAAACACUGUAUAAAUUCAGUUUUAAGAUUUUCAUUGGGAAAGAGCUUCGUCUGAAGCAGCAGUAUUUCCUGGUCGCAGCAACCCUUCAAGAUAUCAUAAGGCGCUUCAAAUCCAGCAAAUAUGGCUGUCGCGAUACCGUCCGUUCAAAUUUGGAACAUUUUCCUGAUAAAGUAAGCGAUUUGGUUGAGGAACUUUCAAGCAGCCGGUAUUCAAAAUUGUUUUUACUUAUUGUUCAUCAUUACAUAUGCUUGAAAUUUAAUGUAUCAAUUGGAGCUUAGAUCUUUGCAAAAUUUCACUUUUUUGCUUCUAAAAUUUAUGAUAAGUGAAGCUCGAAGAUCCAUAAUAUGUAAUUUUCAAAAAUCGUUCUGCUAAACCAUGCUUAGCGCACAGUAUGGAUAGGUUAUUUUGUAUUCAAACGAAUGUAAUCUUUUCUGGUUCCAAAGCUAAAAUUUUGUUCCUCCAAUAGUUGAAUGUACUGCAGGUUGCUAUCCAACUGAAUGAUACUCAUCCAUCGAUUGGUAUCCCAGAGCUUAUUCGUUUAUUCGUUGAUAUUGAAGGUCCGCUUGUAGCAGUUUUUUAUGCGUUUUUUGCAGCUAUGCAGUGCAAAAACGCACGUCGGCGAGGGGUUUUUUGUGUGUCCGUGUGUCUGUGUAUGCGUCUGUCACGCACUUUCAUCUCAAGACCUAUAAAAGCUGCAGGGCUGAAAUUUCGGGAAC
rnacentral:ncRNA from 1 species